rnacentral:RNase_P_RNA from 1 species
CGAGUAAGUUGGGCAGUCGCGCCGGCGCAGGCCGGUGAGGAAAGUCCGGGCUCCGCAGAGCAGGAUAACGGCUAACGGCCGCCGAGGGUGACCUUAGGGAAAGUGCAACAGAGAUAUACCGCCCAACACUUAGUGAAGAAUACUUCGUAUUGUGCAGAGAUGCAGCAAAAACAACCCUGCCUUGUUUUAUUAUGAAGCAUGUUUCACUAAGUGUUGGGUAAGGGUGGAAAGGCGAGGUAAGAGCUCACCGGCGCACGGGAGACCGUGCUGCCCUGUAAACCCUAUCCGGAGCAACAUCGACCAAAGUGGCUUGCUCGGCCAUAACUUUGACGGAUGGCACGGCAUUUUUGCCGGAGCGUCAUGGCAACAUGGCGCAAAGAUAGAUGAUUGCCUUGAAUGACAGAACCCGGCUUACAGAUUUACUCGCACC